UGCCUCUUCUCAGAGAAGUAUCCUUGCCUCCUCUCGGAGAAGUCCCGUCGGAAGUAACUGUACUUCUCUAAACCGGGACUGCUGCUCUCGAGCAGACAAAGAUCUUGACACAAUCCGUAACUCCUCUCGGAGAAGUGUCAGUUCAUCAUCUCGGAGCAGUAUCCGUUCCUCCUCUCGGAGAAGUCCCGUCGGAAGCAUCUGUGUUUCUCUAAACCGGGACUGCUGCUUUCGAGCAGAUAAAGUUAUGUAAAAGAGACAGCUGGUCACAAACAUCAACUCUAGAGCUAUUAAAUUCUCCGGCCUAAUCAACUUUUUCACGGGUCCUAGCUCUGUAUCGCUGUACCAGAAAUAAAGAAUAUAAGAGACUCAUGUGUAUUAAAGAGGUGCGCAAUGGAGAAUUGAUGUUGCCCCAUCAUGUUAAUAGCUGAACAAUUCCUGUGGAUGCUAAAAUUCCCAAAACGG